GAUUCCUUGGUUUAGUGGUAUAAUGCUACCUUAGGGUGUAACUACUUCGGUAGUUCGGCUAUGGUAGAGGUCCCGCGUUCGAUUCGCGGAGGAGUCC